CCUACGGGCGGCAGCAGUGGGGGAUAUUGCACAAUGGGGGAAACCCUGAUGCAGCGACGCCGCGUGGGUGAAGAAGCGCCUCGGCGCGUAAAGCCCUGUCAGCAGGGAAGAAAAUGACGGUACCUGAAGAAGAAGCCCCGGCUAACUGCGUGCCAGCAGCCGCGGUCAUACGUAGGGGGCAAGCGUUAUCCGGAGUUACUGGGUGUAAAGGGGGCGCAGACGGCGAUGCAAGCCAGGAGUGAAAGCCCGGGGCCCAACCCCGGGACUGCUCUUGGAACUGCGUGGCUAGGGUGCAGGAGGGGCAGGCGGAAUUCCUGGUGUAGCGGUGAAAUGCGUAGAUAUCAGGAGGAACACCGGUGGCGAAGGCGGCCUGCUGGACUGCAACUGACGUUGAGGCCCGAAAGCGUGGGGAGCAAACAGGAUUAGAUACCCCUGGUAGUC
rnacentral:rRNA from 1 species